AAUUUUUUAGUCAAUUAUGAUUUUAAAUUGCAAAUUUAGAGGUAUUAGAAUUAAUAAAAAUUU
rnacentral:tRNA from 1 species